GACGAACGCUGGCGGCGUGCUUAACACAUGCAAGUCGAACGGUGAAGCUCCAGCUUGCUGGAGUGGAUCAGUGGCGAACGGGUGAGUAACCCGUGAGCAACCUGCCCCUGACUCUGGAAUAAGCGCUGGAAACGGCGUCUAAUACUGGAUACGAGAAGGGUCCGCAUGGGCACCUUCUGGAAAGUUUUGCGGUUGGGGAUGGGCUCGCGGCCUAACAGCUUGUUGGUGAGGGAAUGGCUCACCAAGUCGAAGACGGGUAGCCGGCCUGAGAGGGCGACCGGCCACACUGGGACUGAGACACGGCCCAGACUCCUACGGGAGGCAACAGUGGGGAAUAUUGCACAAUGGGCGAAAGCCUGAUGCAGCGACGCCGCGUGAGGGAUGACGGCCUUCGGGUUGUAAACCUCUUUCAGCAGGGAAGAAGCGAAAGUGACGGUACCUGCAGAAGAAGCACCGGCUAACUACGUG
rnacentral:rRNA from 1 species